rfam:Schistosoma curassoni strain Dakar, Senegal genome assembly, scaffold: SCTD_scaffold0000036
AUUCAGCUGACGAGUACCGUAUAGGACGAAACACGCGUCAAACUGGAU